GUGUCAGCAGCCGCGGUAAAACGUAGGGUGCGAGCGUUAUCCGGAUUUACUGGGCGUAAAGCGCACGCAGGUGGCUUGGCAAGUUGGACGUGAAAGCUCCUGGCUUAACUGGGAGAGGUCGUUCGAGACUGCUGGGCUUGAGGUUGGGAGAGGGGUAUGGAAUUCCCGGUGUAGUGGUGGAAUGCGUAGAUAUCGGGAGGAACACCAGUGGCGAAGGCGGUACCCUGGCCCACACCUGACGCUGAGGUGCGAAAGCGUGGGUAGCAAACAGGAUUAGAUACCCCCGUAGUCC
rnacentral:rRNA from 1 species